AGAACUCGGGUGAAGGAACUAGGCAAAAUGGUGCCGUAACUUCGGGAGAAGGCACGCUGGCGGUAGGUAAAGUCCCUCGCGGACGGCGCUGAAGCCAGUCGAAGAUACCAGCUGGCUGCAACUGUUUAUUAAAAACACAGCACUGUGCAAACACGAAAGUGGACGUAUACGGUGUGACGCCUGCCCGGUGCUGGAAGGUUAAUUGAUGGGGUCAGCCGUAAGGCGAAGCUCCUGAUCGAAGCCCCAGUAAACGGCGGCCGUAACUAUAACGGUCCUAAGGUAGCGAAAUUCCUUGU
rnacentral:rRNA from 1 species